rnacentral:rRNA from 1 species
AUUGAACGCUGGCGGCAGGCCUAACACAUGCAAGUCGAACGAGUGGCGGACGGGUGAGUAAUGUUUGGGAAACUGCUUGAUGGAGGGGGAUAACUUCUGGAAACGGUUGCUAAUACCGCAUACUAUCGGAUGUGCUCAGAUGGGAUGAGCUCGUAGGUGGGGUAAAGGCUCACCUAGGCGACGAUCCCUAGCUGGUCUGAGAGGAUGACCAGCCACACUGGAACAGAGGCACGGUCCAGAAUCCUACGGGAAGCAGCAGUGGGGAAUAUUGCACAAUGGGCACAAGCCUGAUGCAGCCAUGCCGCGUGUAUGAAGAAGGCCUUCGGGUUGUAAAGUACUUUCAGCGGGGAGGCGUUACCCGCAGAAGAAGCACCGGCUAACUCCGUGCCAGCAGACGCGGUAAUUC